UGUACACAUCUCUGUACAUCACUUUGGAUAAAAGUGUCUGCUAAAUGGCAUAAG
rfam:Salmo salar isolate Sally breed double haploid chromosome ssa20, whole genome shotgun sequence.